UACGAAGGGUGCAAGCGUUACUCGGAAUUACUGGGCGUAAAGCGUGCGCAGGCGGUUGUGCAAGACAGAUGUGAAAUCCCCGGGCUUAACCUGGGAACUGCAUUUGUGACUGCACGGCUAGAGUGCGGCAGAGGGGGAUGGAAUUCCGCGUGUAGCAGUGAAAUGCGUAGAUAUGCGGAGGAACACCGAUGGCGAAGGCAAUCCCCUGGGCCUGCACUGACGCUCAUGCACGAAAGCGUGGGGAGCAAACAGG
rnacentral:rRNA from 1 species